CUAGACCUAUAAAAAACAAAGUGAUGGGAAAGAAAAUAGUCACAGCAUGUUAUUGAUGUCUAAUGUUUCUGAGUGUUUUAGAGUCUGUAGACUCUUGCACAUAGUGGCUGGAAAAUACAAUAUGGAUGCAUAAAUUUAAAUCAAUACAUCUCUGAAAGCCCCAGCCCCACUUCUGCUUCUUAAAUUCUUUUUAUAGGUCUCGAUGCCUAGAGUCAGCAGCAGCAGCAGCGUGGCUUUUACAUUUUUCGGUUAGAGUUCCUUUUAACUUAAUUAAAGCUUUAAUAGAAGUUUUAUUUCCCUUAGAGGGUUACUCUAAGGUUUAAAGUGGCCUUAAAAAUAAGUACCCCAAAUACCUGUUCAUCAAACAUCCUUUUGAACUUUUUGCUUUACUCAGAAAAAUAUUACUAAUCAGAUAAAAAUGAACUCUUUCAGAUGAAUAUGAUACUCUAGAUAAUAAUCCCUAAGACUUCUAUAGUGGUUGUUUUAGUAGUUCCUUUGAAGUCUUAAGAAGAGGUGAUAGCAACAUGUAAGUGAAAGGGUGUCAAAUUGGUAGAAGCUAAAAAAGGUUGGGGUUCUGAGUGAUGUCCUCUCAUUUGAAGAAACCUUGAGCAACUCUUUAGGCAACACCUGCUGUGCUGGCAGGCCGAACCUCAGAUCACAUGGUGAUAUUACUGAUUCAUAUGAUCAAGUUCAUACCACCCACAAUACAUUUACACGUAUAGGCUUAACCUUUUAAAUACCUUUGUCGUUUCCUUCCUUCUAAAGCAGUUGUGCACACAGUGCAAUUUACUGAAUGUUGGGAUAGCACAAAAUAUUUGCUCUUUUCACUAAUUUUCUUUUUUUCUCCCUUUUCAACACCCUAAACCUUUUCAAAGAUUCCAGAGGAGUAAAAGCUGCUAUAAUCUUGAUUCACUGUUAUGGGCAAUAGAAUUAUUUUGCUGAUUGCUGGAAUCAUUGUUCGUAUACAUCUGCAUUCUAUGAGCACUUUGGAAAUUAAAGGAUUGCCAGCUUUUCCACUUUGGGACAAAAAACAUUUGUGCUAAACAGCCGGUGUUCCAUGCACAUGUUGGAUGUCACUGAUGCAAGCAAGAAAGUGCAUCCAGUAUGGCCUUGCAGAAAGGAGGACAAUUGGAGCCUGCAUCAGACCACUAUGGACUCCUUGCGGUAAGACAGCCUUUGGCUAUGGUGCACAUUCUUACUAUAAUGCUGAUGCUAUAUUUUAUCCUUCUCAUUCAGUAAAGUGUAGAUUUGUAAGAAUUGUAGUUAAGACUUGUGAGUCUUCUUUAAUGUCUUUUUUUCAGUCUUUUGCAGGGAAAUAAAGACUUUAUCAUCCUAGGUUUGGUAGCUCGGUGUACAAACAAAACAAAAAGCAAAAACUGAAAGCAGGCAGAUUAAUAAGAAAAAGGCAUACAGUUUUAUUAAUUUUUAAUAUGUGCACAAGGGAAUUACAAAAAAAACCUAAAAUCCCCCAAAACCAUUUGAGAGUUCACAUACCAUCUUAAUAGGAAAAGGGAAGAGACAUGUUGGUUACUUAGGAAAGAAUAAAUGAUUUGAGGAAAGAUGAAUGGGUUCUUAGAAGAAUAGAUGAGAGAUAAUGAUAGAUUCAAAGUUUGUUAGUGUGGCGUUAACUUCUAGUUUCUGCUUCUGUAAUAAGAGUUAGUCUUCGUAGUUGAUGAAACUCCUGGGAAGAUGGUUUAUGACAAUUGAGUUUCUUUUGGAGGAUCUGUCUUUAGGAAGGCAAAGGGAGUUCUAAGAAACACUCUCCUUCCAUUUGCUGUUUUUCAAAAUGCCUCAACCUCAAAAUAGUCAGUAUGCUACAACUGUAUAUUUUGGGUAUAUUAUGGGGUGCCAUCUGCUGAACUUCAUCACAGUCAUAUUUAGCGGUGGUAUAUUCUUAUUUAUAACACUUCUUUAGUAUCUAAUUGGCAUAAUUAGUAUGGAGUUCUUAAGUAUAUUUUUGUGCUGGUUUGACAAAACACUAACACAUACACAUAACAUGCUCACCUCAUUAGCCAUUUUACUGGCUAAGCUACUCCUUUUCUUACCCCAUUUUAUGGUGACUUCUACUCUUUACUAUUUCUGAAAUUCACUAUAGUUUUGACUGGGAUCAAAGGUUGAAAAGGCUACUGUUAAGAAACUACAAUUUUGAAGUUGAAAAGAUAAAUACCACAGUUCUGUGUACUACUAGGAAAAUACCAUAGGCCAUUGUAGGAAAUGGCUUUUUAGUGACAAGGCCAAAGAACACAUUUCCAGAGACUCAAAGAGACGUAUUGGUAUUCAAUAUUCCCUCGCCCCUAGGCAGUUCCCCAGUGAAGUUUUCCAUUUUAGACAAAUCUUCUUGUGUUGGUCAUUAAAACAGCGCCAAAGUACUAAAACAUAUAUAGUUGUUUCUUAGUAUCCUAGUUAUUCUCUUUCUGGCUGUCAUUCUCCAUCAGUUUGAACUUAGACAUAAGCAUAUGACUUUUUCUUUCAAUGAAAUGUCACCUAAAGUAAUAUAAGUCACUUUUGG